UGGGGAAUCUUGCACAAUGGAGGCAACUCUGAUGCAGCGACGCCGCGUGAGCGAUGAAGCCCUUCGGGGUGUAAAGCUCUUUCGACGGGAAAGAUUAUGACGGUACCCGGAGAAGAAGCUGCGGCUAACUACGUGCCAGCAGCCGCGGUAAUACGUAGGCAGCGAGCGUUGUUCGGAAUUACUGGGCGUAAAGAGUGUGUAGGCGGUGUUCCAAGUCUGGUGUGAAAUCUCCCGGCUCAACUGGGAGGGUGCGCCGGAAACUGGAAUGCUAGAGGGUGGGAGAGGUAAGCGGAAUUCCUGGUGUAGCGGUGAAAUGCGUAGAUAUCAGGAGGAACACCUGUGGUGUAGACAGCUUACUGGACCACUUCUGACGCUGAGACACGAAAGCGUGGGUAGCAAACAGGAUUAGAUACCC
rnacentral:rRNA from 1 species